UGCAUAUCCAAAUAAGCGGAGGAAAAGAAACCAACAGGGAUUGCCUUAGUAGCGGCGAGUGAAGCGGCAAAAGCUCAAAUUUGAAAUCUGGCUCUUUCAGAGUCCGAGUUGUAAUUUGAAGAAGGUAUCUUUGGGUCUGGCUCUUGUCUAUGUUUCUUGGAACAGAACGUCACAGAGGGUGAGAAUCCCGUGCGAUGAGAUGAUCCAGGCCUAUGUAAAGUUCCUUCGAAGAGUCGAGUUGUUUGGGAAUGCAGCUCUAAGUGGGUGGUAAAUUCCAUCUAAAGCUAAAUAUUGGCGAGAGACCGAUAGCGAACAAGUACAGUGAUGGAAAGAUGAAAAGAACUUUGAAAAGAGAGUGAAAAAGUACGUGAAAUUGUUGAAAGGGAAGGGCUUGAGAUCAGACUUGGUAUUUUGUAUGUUACUUCUUCGGGGGUGGCCUCUACAGUUUAUCGGGCCAGCAUCAGUUUGGGCGGUAGGAGAAUUGCGUUGGAAUGUGGCACGGCUUCGGUUGUGUGUUAUAGCCUUCGUCGAUACUGCCAGCCUAGACUGAGGACUGCGGUUUAUACCUAGGAUGUUGGCAUAAUGAUCUUAAGUCGCCCGUCUUGAACCAACGGACCA
rnacentral:rRNA from 1 species